rnacentral:rRNA from 1 species
GUGUCAGCAGCCGCGGUAAUACGUAGGAUCCGAGCGUUGUCCGGAGUUACUGGGUGUAAAGGGUGCGUAGGCGGACUUGUGCGUCAGAGGUGAAAUCCACGAGCUCAACUCGUGGGGUGCCUUUGAUACGGCAAGUCUUGAGUUCGAGAGAGGCGGGUGGAAUUCCUGGUGUAGCAGUGAAAUGCGUAGAUAUCAGGAGGAACACCGAUGGCGAAGGCAGCCCGCCGGCUCGCAACUGACGCUGAGGCACGAAAGCGUGGGGAUCAAACAGGAUUAGAAACCCUCGUAGUCC